rnacentral:tRNA from 1 species
GCGGAAGUAGUUCAGUGGUAGAAUAUAACCUUGCCAAGGUUGGGGUCGCGGGUUCGAAUCCCGUCUUCCGCU